AUGAAAUUAAUCGCGAUAUCACGCCUUACGUCAUCAAUUAGCGAGCCUGCGUUCCUUAUGACAAUGUUCCACCCCAUGUUCCCCGGGGAACAUGGGGUGGAACAUUAUUCGCGUAGACCGCGCGAGACAACACGCAUGACAAAAACAUGGCCGACAAAAUAUAAAUAGUAUUGAUGAGUGAUGAAUAAUCAAAUUUUAAACGUAAAACCUGGGGCUUUUUCAAAAUUUUGAAGCAAAUUUUGAAAAAAUGUUGUCAUUAAUAUUCCAAACGAUAUGUGAUUCGAAAGAAAAUCGACGAAUACUUGUGUUAAUCCGAAAAUAAAACAUCGUAUUCACGAAGGUAUGUGUCAAGUUUUUAAUUCUCAACUUGGAGGCUUUUAAUUUUCGGUAUAAUAUAUCAUUUAUAGACCCUCCGCUCGGGGGAUUCGGCGAAAUAUUACCCUCAGUGAUGAUAUUUCCCUCGGGGCAAAGCCCCUCGGGAAAUAUCAUCACUUUGGGUAAUAUUUCGCCGAAUCCCCCUCGCUCCAGG